rnacentral:rRNA from 1 species
CCAGGAGUGGAGCCUGCGGCCUAAUUUGACUCAACACGGGAAAACUCACCCGGUCCGGACACUGGAAGGAUUGACAGAUUGAGAGGUCCUCUUUCUUGAUUCAGUGGGUGGUGGUGGUGGUGCAUGGCCGUUCUUAGUUGGUGGAGCGAUUUGUCUGGUUAAUUCCGAUAACGAACGAGACUCUAGCCUACUAAAUAGAAUACCAGCUUACAUACACGUUGGUGGUAUUAUUCACACUUCUUAGAGGGACAGGCGGCGUCGUUUCAGCCGCACGAAACAGAGCAAUAACAGGUCUGUGAUGCCCUUAGGUGUCCGGGGCCGCACGCGCGCUACAAUGAAGUGAUCAGCGUGUAUAUACUUAGCAUACUCUGUUAAGAGUGGGUAACCCAAUGAAACUUCUUCGUGAUUGGGAUAGGGGAUUGUAAUUAUUCCCCUUGAACGAGGAAUUCCCAGUAAGCGCGAGUCAUUAGCUCGCGUUGAUUACGUCCCUGCCCUUUGUACACACCGCCCGUCGCUACG